AAAAAUACUAUUGAAGACAUGAUGGGGGUAAACUCCACCAUAACCACAGAUUGUUCUGCCUCGGAUAUAUCCUCAGAGAGCUGCACACAAGCAUUACUUCAAAGUUUCAAAGACGACUAUGAAGCUCAGUCUGAUCAACCACUUCUCUAUAUAACUAAGGAAAAUUUAAAAACUUUUCCUUUCUUUUCUACUACUUAUUUCUAAUUAAAUCCUUCAAAAUAUAAUUAAAUAAAUAAAUUAAAAACAUUAUUUUUGAUGGGAAAAAAUAUAUUUAAUUACCAUAUAUAUGAUCUAGCUAGAGUUUGAGGUUUUUAGUAAGGAAGUCUCUCAAUGUUUAAGAACUUAUAAAACUGCCAUAACUUAACCUAACCUUGUAAGUAUCUUUUGACUGCAGGUUUCAAGCUACAAGAAAAUUAAGAAGUAUGUCAACUCUUUAAUUGAAAUGUCAACUGGAAGAUGGUGUUCACACCCUCUACCAUUGCAACGGUAUGAUUAUAUUUUGAAGAAGUAAAAAGGUUAAUUUAUUCAUCAGUUGGUCGACAUGAUUCAAUCUCUUCUCUUGGCAUGUACAGAUUAUCG
rnacentral:lncRNA from 1 species